GAUUUAUAUUCAAUUUAAAUACAGUCUAUAAUUACUUUGCCAAUACACAUUUUAUGUGAACUGGCAUUUCUAAUUGUUCAAUACGGAUCUCUAUCGAUUGUUGUGGCUUUUUUUUUCUGUCCUUUUGCAGUAGUAUUCACUUACCAGGAAUUUUGGAGUUCAAAAACAACGGCUUUAUUUGUAGUAUUCCAUAUUGCAAGAAAUGAAAGGAGGUUUCUGUUUUAUCCAUUGCUUGUUAGAGAGGAUUUGAAGCAGCGCUAGCUGCCGAGGUCCAGUAAUGGACACAUACUCCUCCGGAGAAGACUUGGUUGUCAAGGUAGAUUUUCCCCCCUUUUUUGCUUUUAAAAUUUUCAAUUACUCUGUGUUUUGAAAAUUGUAGAAAAAUAAAUGUUGAAGUAUCUGAAUUAUGAAGUUACGUUAAUAAUAGACAAGAAAACCUUACACAAUUACCAAGCAACGUGAACGAUGGACAGAGGAGGAGCACAAUAGGUUCCUAGAGGCCUUGAAGCUCUAUGGACGAGCGUGGCAGCGCAUAGAAGGUUAUCAUUUGCAAUGACUUUUUGACUUCUCUUUCCUUGUUGUUUUGUUUCAGUUAUUAAUAAUGUUCUAACUUAUUUUUUUUAAUUAUAAUUAUAAUUUUAAUUUUAAUUCAUGGUCUAAUUAUAUAAUUAAUGUAAGGUAAUGAUUUGGCUAAUCCUGCUAGGAAUGCCAAUAAAUGUUAUUUAUUUACUCUUAAUUGGACAUCUGUCUCUUCUCUUCCUUGCGUUUCUUUCUUGGUGGUGCGCAGAACAUAUAGGAACAAAGACUGCUGUGCAGAUCAGGAGUCAUGCGCAGAAAUUCUUUUCAAAGUUAGAGAAGGAGGCUGUUGCUAAAGGUGUUCCAAUAGGACAAGCUAUUGACAUAGACAUUCCACCUCCACGUCCUAAGAGGAAACCACGCAAUCCUUAUCCUCGAAAGACUGGUGUGGGUCCUACGCCUUCUCAGGUGGCAGUGAAGGAUAGAAAUCCUUUGAAUUCAUUUUCUUUUACCCAUUGUAAACAAGCAUUGGACCUGGAGAAAGAACCACUUCCUGAGAAACCCAUUGGAGAUGAGAAGCAUGCAAAUGGAAAAGAAAACGAGGACGACAGUUGCUCAGAAGUCUUUACCCUUCUCCAAGAAAGUCACUGUCCAGCGAACAAGAAUUCUGUAUCCACACCAGAGGCACUAAAAAAAACAUGCUCUUUUAGGGAGUUCAUACCUUCACUGAAGGAGGUAGUAAAUCAAGAUGCAACUAAUGAAUCCUAUAUCACCAUUGAACGUCAUGGAAAUCAGAAGCUAGAUAAGCCUGAUGCCAAACAGACAGUUGAAGAUAAUGGCACUAAUAAAGCUGCAAAGUUGGAAUCCUGCCCUUUUCAUGAAAAAUUAGUUCAGGGAAAGACUUCAAAUGAAUUUAACAAUGCAUUGCCAACAGAUGAGAUGGAAGCUGUGCAGAAUUAUCCAAGGCAUGUCCCUGUGCAUGUUCUAGAUGGGAGCUUGGGAACAUGCAUGCAAACUCCUCCCUCGGAUGUGUCUUUCCAGGACUCCAUAUUUCAACCAACAG
rnacentral:misc_RNA from 1 species